rnacentral:lncRNA from 1 species
AACAAAGAAAAAGAAGAAAAGACUGUGAUUUAUUCGUAUUGGAAAGAUUUAGAUGAAGAUGUCAUUGGAAUGGAAAAAGCAUCAGAAUAUCAUUUGGUAGUGGCAGCACUCAUAGCAACAGUAACCUUUGCCGCAGCAUUCACCUUACCCGGUGGUUACAAGAGUGACACUGAAGACGGCCCAAACAGGGGCACUGCAAUUCUCAGUAAAAACGCAGCUUUCCAAGUAUUUGUUAUAUCAGACGCCAUAGCCAUGGUCCUCUCACUUUCUGCUGUCUUUGUCCAUUUCAUUCUGUCACUUAAGUUUUUUAAAAAAUUCAUCUUUUUAUUCGUUUUUGCUCUUUCCUUCACCUUAGUUGCCAUGGCGGCAAUGAUAGUAGCAUUUGUUACGGGCACAUAUGCAAUGCUGGCAACACCUUCUUUGUGGCUUGCCAUUGUUACUUGUAUCAUUGGCUUGUCCUUCUUCUUCUUGGUGAUUUUCAUGUACUACAAGGUUAUAUCAAAAGCGAAGGAAGAGGAAAUGGAAGACGAAGAUUAGCUUAUGGUUCCAAGAAAAGUUAUUGUAUACCUCUCUCUAGUACUAUAAUUAUGUUAGCAUCAUCCCACUGUUAUGAUCUGGAGUUAUAAGUUGUGAUUGAAAUUUGUUACACUAUCUUAUUUGGUGUAUUGCUUCAAGGUUGUAAAACGUUACUGAGAGCUUGAAAGAAAUGAUAUCAUCUAUUUAUGAUGCAGAAUUAGUUGUUGCAUAAGCAUUCCAAAUUAAUUUUAAUCAGGGAUCUUCACCGCGGAAUGAGUAUUAGUUAUUCGGAUGGGUAAAGUUUCUUCUUAACCUAAUUAAGUGGAGAAACAAAUUUGAUAUUUCAAAUUGUGAAGAGCUUUUUUCUUUUGGAAAUUCUACCAUCAAAAUCAAUUAUAGAAUUCGAAACAAAUUCUAGUUUUACAAUGUCUACAGUCUACUUAUGAAUUGCAUAAAGGAUAGAGCUGCAGACCUUCAGUUAGACAACAGGGAUCAGUGUGUAAAUUAUUCAUAUUUUAUUUAAAAACUGCUGUACGGCCAAGGCGGAUGUACGGUACAGCAGAUGAAAAUGUCAUUGGAAUGAAAGAAGCAUCACAGUCACAUUUGGUAGUGGCAGCACUCAUAGCAACAGUAACCUUUGCUGCGGCAUUCACCUUACCCGGUGGUUACAAGAGUGAGACUGAAGACGGCGCAAACAGGGGCACUGCAAUUCUCAGUAAAAACGCAGCUUUCCAAGCAUUUGUUAUAUCAGACGCCAUAGCCAUGGUCCUUUCACUUUCUGCUGUUUUUGUCCAUUUCAUUCUGUCACUUAAGUUUUUUAAAAAAUUCAUCUUUUUAUUCGUUUUUGCUCUUUCCUUCACCUUAGUUGCCAUGGCGGCAAUGAUAGUAGCAUUUGUUACGGGCACAUAUGCAAUGCUGGCAACACCUUCUUUAGGGCUUGCCAUUGUUACUUGUAUCAUUGGCUUGACCUUCUUCCUCUUGGUGAUUUUCAUGUUUUACAUGGUUUUUUCAAGAGCAGAGGAAGAGGAAUAUGAAGUGGAAGAGGAAAUGGAAGACUAAGAUUAGCGUAUGGUUCCAAUACAAGUUAUUGUAUACCUCUCUCUAGUACUAUAAUUAUGUUAGCAUCAUCCCACUGUUAUGAUCUGGAGUUAUAAGUUGUGAUUGAAAUUUGUUACACUAUCUUAUUUGGUGUAUUGCUUCAAGGUUGUAAAACGU